CAUCACUACGCUAGAUGCAUAUCAAUAAGCGGAGGAAAAGAAACUAACAAGGAUUCCCCUAGUAACGGCGAGUGAAGCGGGAAGAGCUCAAAUUUGAAAUCUUAAAGGGUUUCCCUUUACGAAUUGUAGUUUAAAGAAGUGUUUUCUGUUGGAGUUUCGGUAAAAGUUCUUUGGAAUAGGACAUCAUAGAGGGUGAGAAUCCCGUAUUUGACCGUUACUUUCCAGCUGUGUGAUACACUUUCAAAGAGUCGGAUUGUUUGGGAAUGCAGUCCAAGAUGGGUGGUAAAUUUCAUCUAAAGCUAAAUAUUGGCGAGAGACCGAUAGCGAACAAGUACCGUGAGGGAAAGAUGAAAAGAACUUUGAAAAGAGAGUUAAACAGUACGUGAAAUUGUCAAAAGGGAAGCGUUUGACACCAGUGUUGUUUAGUUGAAAAUCAAUUCAAUAGUUUUUGAUUCUAAGUAGUAUUGACUUCAUCAGCUUGCUGCUUUCUUCUCAGAAAUUAUUGAAUGCACUUUUCAGUUAACAGGUCAACAUCAAUUUCUUUUGUUGUAAAAGGGUAAGAGGAAGGUGGCUUGCGCUUCGGCUCAAGUGUUUAUAGCCUUUUAUCUCUGCAAUCGGAGAGAUUGAGGUCUGCAGCGUAGAUCCUUCGGGGUUAGAUACAUUGGUGCUAAGCUAUAGCCUUGUAUAGACAACUUGUUGACUAUGCUCAGUCAUGUAGCUUACUCGCUGAUGCUAUUUUACCUACGCUUAGGAUGUUGAUAGUCACAGCGUGUAC
rnacentral:rRNA from 1 species